rnacentral:rRNA from 1 species
UACGUAGGGGGCAAGCGUUGUCCGGAAUUAUUGGGCGUAAAGAGCGUGUAGGCGGCCAGAUAAGUCCGCUGUGAAAUCUCGAGGCUCAACUUCGAGCUGUCGGUGGAAACUAUCUGGCUAGAGUCCGGAAGAGGAGAAUGGAAUUCCUGGUGUAGCGGUGAAAUGCGCAGAUAUCAGGAAGAACACCCGUGGCGAAGGCGGUUCUCUGGGACGGUACUGACGCUGAGACGCGAAAGCGUGGGGGGCGAACAGG